rnacentral:misc_RNA from 1 species
UCCGGUUUGUCACCGGCGGUCUCCUUAGAGUGCCCAGCUUGACCUGAUGGCAACUAGGGAUAAGGGUUGCGCUCGUUGCGGGACUUAACCCAACAUCUCACGACACGAGCUGACGACAGCCAUGCAGCACCUCCACAGCAGUUCUUGCGAAAAGGGAUAUUUCUACCCCGGUCCACUGUGCUUCGAGCCCAGGUAAGGUUCUUCGCGUUGCGUCGAAUUGAACCACAUGCUCCACCGCUUGUGCGGGCCCCCGUCAAUUCCUUUGAGUUUCAUUCUUGCGAACGUACUCCCCAGGUGGGAUACUUAUCACUUUCGCUUAGCCACUGAACUUGCGCCCAACAGCUAGUAUCCAUCGUUUACGGCGUGGACUAC